rnacentral:rRNA from 1 species
UACGUAGGGUGCAAGCGUUGUCCGGAAUUAUUGGGCGUAAAGGGCUCGUAGGCGGUUUGUCGCGUCGGGAGUGAAAACCAGGUGCUUAACACCUGGCUUGCUUUCGAUACGGGCAGACUAGAGGUAUUCAGGGGAGAACGGAAUUCCUGGUGUAGCGGUGAAAUGCGCAGAUAUCAGGAGGAGCACCGGUGGCGAAGGCGGUUCUCUGGGAAUGACCUGACGCUGAGGAGCGAAAGUGUGGGGAGCGAACAGG